UUGAAUCAACGUUGUAUCUUCAGUCUUUAGAAGGAUAUCUUUCUUGUGCAAACAAAACCCAAAAAACAUUUAUGGCAGAGUAUUUCCUUAUUGCAUUAAACAGAUGAAGCCUGUGAGAUGCCUACAUCUUGCAGGCACAUUGGAGAGAGGAGACAGAGGAAAUACUGUAGUGGUGAUGAGCAUGUUGAAGCCUUUGCAAGACCUUCGAUGGCCGGAUGCUACACCAGGGGAAAUACUAAAAGCAAUGUCAGAAAUCAAUAAAUCAAAUCAUAUCAAAUCAAAUAAAAUUUCAUGUCAAAUAAUAUCAGGCCUAGGAAGGCUCACAAACACCAGAAUCGGCAACGAGCAAGGUCCCCCCUUGACUUGCAGGAUAUCGAUAUCGAUGCAAUACUACA